UGAGCAGAAACGUCUUAUCUUUGUUCCUGAAAUAUGCCUGGGCUCUGUUACAAGCUCACUGUGCUGCUUAGAGAUGCCUUGCUAAGGCUUACACACAGUUCUUUUCCUGUUGCUUCUGGUGCUGCUGAAUAAUUCUCCCUGUUUCUUUAGUUUCUUAGAGAUGGAUGAGCUUCUUGGAGAAUAAGAAAAUGUAUUGCUGUCUAGAGCCCUGAUCCUGCCAGGUCAUGCUGGAAAGAACAUUUUCGGAAACAUCUGUCAAACUGAAAACGCUUGCCUUAAAUGAUAAUGACUGGUUUGGAUCUUUGUGUAGUGAGAACUUGAACAAGUAUUCAAUUACUGAAAGAAUUUGUUACUCUAUUAACCUCCCCUUUCACCUCUAAAAUGUUAAGCACAACUUAUAUAUUUUGUCUAUUACACAUCUGCCUUUAUCUCCUCAUUGGUCACAUCCACUAUGACUUCUGAAGCUGUCAAAAGAAAACUGUUGUCAAGAAGAAACUGGAGAAGUAAUUCAAAAGUAAAGUAUUCUAUAUUUCUCACAUAUUUAGAUCCUCAUCCAGCUGUUAAAAGAAGCUUAAUAAGAAUAAGUGGGGUCUAGAAGACAAUUUUUGUCUGGCUGAAGGAGUCAUUGUACAAUUAAACUCACAGCUGGUUGCUCCAGUAGAUCUUUGCAGUCUUCUGGCUGUACACUGGCUCCUCUCCAGUUUCUUGUUUCUGUGUUGGAUAAAGCUGCUGAGUGAUGCAAAGGCGAGACAGUGUUCCCUGCCUCGUUACCUUGUGUUGAGUAUCCCCACUUCUUUUACGGAAAGACAAACACAAAAAAAAUUAUCUCUGCCAGUAGCAACACUUUGAAGAAGUCUUAGAUUUCUAGGUGUAAAACCAGGUUUGAACUUUUCCUUCAUUUAGAGCAAUUACAAGUAUCUCUCAUCAUUAGCAUAAUGAUAAUAGGAGCUUAAUUAUCUCAACACUUCUGCCAAAUGGGAGGGGAAUUAUAUGGUGAAUUAGGGGAAUUCAGAAGUUCUUGGCAGAGAUGUUCACUUAGGCUGCUAAUGGGACUGCAGAAAAUGGUACUCUUGGCGAAUUCAAUUACACCGCUAAGCCUGACUUUUAUAUAAAAUAGUUUAGUGAUGAGACCUACUAGACAGGGCUUUAGACUGGGACUUAGGAGAACUGGAGUUUGUUUCCAGUCCUAUUGCAGGUCUGCAUAGUGACUAUAGCAAAAACUUUUGCUGUUUCAGUUUCUGCAUUUGUUAAAUAAGUUAGAGAAGAUCACUUUCAACUAGAACUUUGAAAUCUGAUUUCAAACGUGUAUUGUUUUUGAGGACCUUAGACUUAUUAUUAUGGGAAGGAUAGCAGGCAAACCGAUCUGUUUACCUCUGAGUUACAGCAGGACUCGUGUUGUAACAUAAACUGGUCACUAGAAAAGUACUACAGCACUUUUGUUUUUAACUAAUGUCAACCUAAGAUGAAGGUGUUUUCUAUACUUUUGCCAGAAGUGUUGCAUUACUGCAGAAAUAUGUAGAAUUUAUUUCACAAGCAUUGCAUCAUUCUGAGUUACAAUUUUUGUAACCCAACCUGACAGGAUUGUAGUUUAAAUAAGAUUUGUCUAAACCUGAGGUAUUACUUUCUGUAAAAAAAAAAAUAUUAAAAUAUAGGAAAAAGCUACAAGUGUAAAACACUUUAUUUUUUCAAAGUCUUAGUAACUUAUCAGACUUGUUUUCAUUUCAGGUUCUCCCUAUUUCUGUUAAGAUGUUUAAUGUUAUUUGCUUAAUGUGUUGCCGGGACAGAGAGAUUUCUCUGAACAAUUUUUCCUGCACUCUUUAGGCCUUGCUUGCCAUGGAAGUGACAAGUGUGUAUUGUUUAUACUUAUAGACUGUGUGAAAAUAUGUGAUGCUUAUACUUGUUAGCUGUGUGUCUAAUUAUAAGGUUUGAGAACAUAAUAUGUUUAUAGAAAGAAAACCUUGAGAAACUGAAGAUAAUGAAACACCUGCAAAUUUAGUAAAACCCUAAAAGCAGAUUAAUUAGAAAGAGGUUUCUAUGCCAAGGAUGAUUUCAGAUCGCGUGGACAGAACAUCAAGUCCAAUGAACUGGAGACAUGAGACGCGUGCACAGACUGAGCUAUCCAAUCACCUUCUUAUAAGCAUGUGUCCCAAACAAACUAAACUGUAUAAAAGUUAACUGAUUUAAAUAAUAAAGUUGACAUAUUUGCCGAC